rnacentral:rRNA from 1 species
CAAUAGCGUAUAUUUAAGUUGUUGCAGUUAAAAAGCUCGUAGUUGGAUUUCGGGUGUCAUCUGCCGGUCCGCCGUUUCGGUGUGCACUGGCGGGCGUCAUCUUUCUGUCGAGGACGCGCUCCUGUCCUUCACUGGUCGGGACGCGGAGUCGGCGAGGUUACUUUGAAAAAAUUAGAGUGUUCAAAGCGGGCUUACGCUUGAAUAUAUUAGCAUGGAAUAACACUAUAGGACUCCUGUCCUAUUUUGUUGGUCUUCGGGACGGGAGUAAUGAUUAAGAGGAACAGUUGGGGGCAUUCGUAUUUCAUUGUCAGAGGUGAAAUUCUUGGAUUUAUGGAAGACGAACUUCUGCGAAAGCAUUUGCCAAGGAUGUUUNCAUUA